GCGUGGAGCCAACCUUGAAAUACCACCCUUUAAUGUUUGAUGUUCUAACGUUGGCCCCUUACCGGGGUUGCGGACAGUGUCUGGUGGGUAGUUUGACUGGGGCGGUCUCCUCCCAAAGCGUAACGGAGGAGCACGAAGGUUAGCUAAUCCUGGUCGGACAUCAGGAGGUUAGUGCAAUGGCAUAAGCUAGCUUGACUGCGAGCGUGACGGCGCGAGCAGGUGCGAAAGCAGGUCAUAGUGAUCCGGUGGUUCUGAAUGGAAGGGCCAUCGCUCAACGGAUAAAAGGUACUCCGG
rnacentral:rRNA from 1 species